rnacentral:rRNA from 1 species
UAGGGAAUCUUCGGCAAUGGACGGAAGUCUGACCGAGCAACGCCGCUUGAGUGAAGAAGGUUUUCGGAUCGUAAAGCUCUGUUGUUAGAGAAGAACGUUGGUAGGAGUGGAAAAUCUACCAAGUGACGGUAACUAACCAGAAAGGGACGGCUAACUACGUGCCAGCAGCCGCGGUAAUACGUAGGUCCCGAGCGUUGUCCGGAUUUAUUGGGCGUAAAGCGAGCGCAGGCGGUUCUUUAAGUCUGAAGUUAAAGGCAGUGGCUUAACCAUUGUACGCUUUGGAAACUGGAGGACUUGAGUGCAGAAGGGGAGAGUGGAAUUCCAUGUGUAGCGGUGAAAUGCGUAGAUAUAUGGAGGAACACCGGUGGCGAAAGCGGCUCUCUGGUCUGUAACUGACGCUGAGGCUCGAAAGCGUGGGGAGCAAACAGG